rnacentral:rRNA from 1 species
AACGAACGCUGGCGGCAUGCCUAACACAUGCAAGUCGAACGAGACCUUCGGGUCUAGUGGCGCACGGGUGCGUAACGCGUGGGAACCUGCCCUUAGGUUCGGCAUAACUCCCCGAAAGGGGUGCUAAUACCGGAUAAUGUCUUCGGACCAAAGAUUUAUCGCCUUUGGAUGGGCCCGCGUUGGAUUAGCUAGUUGGUAGGGUAAAAGCCUACCAAGGCGACGAUCCAUAGCUGGUCUGAGAGGAUGAUCAGCCACACUGGGACUGAGACACGGCCCAGACUCCUACGGGAGGCAGCAGUGGGGAAUAUUGGACAAUGGGCGAAAGCCUGAUCCAGCAAUGCCGCGUGAGUGAUGAAGGCCUUAGGGUUGUAAAGCUCUUUUAACCGGGAUGAUAAUGACAGUACCGGGAGAAUAAGCUCCGGCUAACUCCGUG